CGUCCCUUUACGUACGACGGAUAAUUGAAUUUCAAAUUUGAUGUAUUUUAUUGUAACUAUGUGUUUUAACUCUAAAGGGUUAAUAAGAACCAUCACUAUUUGUAAGAGUAAAUUAGCAUACAAUUUGUAAACGCGGAGAGAAAAAUAAUUGCUUAUAGCAAGCACACUGCUCGAAAGUUCAUGUAUCGCAGUUAAUGUGGCCCGAAAAUCAAAUUAAGUGUCUAUAUGGAAAAUAAAGCUCACAAGACUAAUUAAUCUGAUAAUUUGUCGGAAAAUCAUUAAUGUUUUGUUCGACAACUUUGAAAAUAAUAAUGGAUCCAAAAUAAUAAACGAAAUAUGUAUAUAUAGAAAAACCUAAUUAAGUAAACAAAUUGUGAGUGCUUAAGAAGAAAAGGACCAUAAAUAUUUUGUUCUAAACACCAAUAUAUUGAUUUUUUUAAUAUAAAGAUUUUUAUGAAAAUUAUAA